rnacentral:tRNA from 1 species
GUGCAUAGGCCCCUGCUGAGAGGGGGGCUGGAUUGUGAUUCCAGUUGUUGUGGGUUUGAAUCCCAUUAUGCACC